rnacentral:rRNA from 1 species
GAUGAACGCUGGCGGCGUGCCUAAUACAUGCAAGUAGAACGCUGAAGGAGGAGCUUGCUCUUCUGGAUGAGUUGCGAACGGGGGAGUAACGCGUAGGUAACCUGCUUGGCAGCGGGGGAUAACUAUUGGAAACGAUAGCUAAUACCGCAUGACAUCAGUUCUUGCAUGAUAACUGUGUAAAAGUGGCAACUGCUGCACUACCAGAUGGACCUGCGUUGUAUUAGCUAGUUGGUGAGGUAACGGCUCACCAAGGCGACGAUCCAUAGCCGACCUGAGAGGGUGAUCGGCCACACUGGAACUGAGACACGGCCCAGACUCCUACGGGAGGCAGCAGUAGGGAAUAUUCGGCAAUGGACGGAAGUCUGACCGAGCAACGCCGCGUGAGUGAAGAAGGUUUUCGGAUCGUAAAGCUCUGUUGUAAGAGAAGAACGGGUGUGAGAGUGGAACGUUCACACUGUGACGGUAUCUUACCAGAAGAGGCCGGCUACCUACGU